rnacentral:lncRNA from 1 species
GCACAUCUUAUGUACAUGCCACAUUACCAAAAGAAAAUAUACAUCACCAAAAUUAUGCUGAAGCCGAGAUUAAUCUGGAUGCUGAACCGAGACCUUUGACUUCUAUCGACCUGCACACGGAAACAACCGUACGCUGAGUAUUUCAUACUCAGUGGUAUUACUAUAAUUCAAAUUAUAACAAUAAUGAACAUAUAAUGCAUAAAUCGUAUAUACAAAUUUAAAUUCAAAAUCCAUAUUUCAACAAUAACAAUUCAUCAGUUAAUAUCAUACAUCCACAAUUUGAAUUUGAACAUAUCAUGAACCUUAGGUUCAUUCCUCUAUCUCAUAUCACAUUUCAAUUCACAAUUCAACUUUUUUUCAUUUCAUUUCAUUUCAGUAGCUCGUUCGAUCAACUCGUUUGGUUUAUCAUUUCAUUAAUUUCCCUAUUAACAAAACUCGGACUUUGGCGGAUACACAGAUCCAACCAAACACACCAGAAUAGCACCCAGUGCCUCAUCGGAUAGUUCGAAGCAAUAGUUGACACCCAAUGUCUCAUCGGCAAAGCCGAAGAAAGUUGGUACCCAGUACCUCAUCGAAGCUAUCCGAAGAAUUAUAGUGACACCCAGUGUCUCAUCGACUCGAGGUCGAAGUAUCCCUGAACUCUUCUAAUCCUAUGGCAUGUCAACUAUAUCCGACUCAGCCCGACUAGUUAAUAGGGUAUUUAAGUCACAUAUAAUCUCAAUUCAAUCACAAUUUCUCACAUUUUCAAUUCAAUCAUUUUUCCACCUUUCAAUCAAUAAUUAAUCCACAAUUCACACGUUUUCACAACUCAAUACAUUUCCAUUCAAAUUAAUAUCAGUCACUAUUCGAUUUAAAUUCACUUCCCGCUUUCAAUCAACAAACAAUUUAAAUAUUAAUUCAUAUCAACUAUUCAAUUUAAUUUCCACUCAUCUUAAUAAAAAAAUAAUAGUAAUAAUAAUAAUAAUAAUAAUAAUAAUAAUAAUUUUCUCACAUUUCCUUUACCAAACACAUAAAUUAAAAUUUAACAUUUAAUAAUAAAUAACUUGAAUUAUAGUAAUACAAACCGUAAAUCUCUCGUUUUAGUCCUCGAUUGCUUUCUCCUUUCCCUUUGAUGCUGGUGCCUCGGGUUCUUUGUUAGCUACAAAAAUAAUAAUAAUUUGUACUAUUAAGUACAGCACUAAUUAAAUAAAUAAUUAAAUUUCUAAUCGAUUCCUACAUUGAUCUCAAUUUAAUCCUAACUAAGUUUUCUUACUUUCCUAAUUCAAUUCACACUCUAUUUUUAUUCAAAUUUCAUCCAAACUCAAAUUUAACUAUUAAAAUUUCAGCAUAUUUUCCUAAUUUCGAAUUUCUCUAAUUUUAGUCCCUAAAAUAUAAAACUUAAGGUUUAGUUUACAAUUCAAUCCUUUAUUCAAUUCCAAUUAAAAUUUCUAUCAAAUAAACCCUCAAUUCCAUCAUUUAUUCAACAUAAACCCUACUAAAAAAUCUAUUAACUUUCAAAUUUUCAACUUAAAUCCAAGAGUAUUUCACUCUAGGAUUCCAAAAACAUCACAUUUAUGAGAAAAGGACUUGAUUUAACUUACCAAUUAAACUUCAAG